UCCCUGUCGUAGCUCAAAUUUAUUGAGGUUCGUGAUAGGACCACGCAGAGAAAUGUUGGUUGGCUUAGCUGUACUGAUGUUGGUGACGAGUGAAUGCAACGCGCAGUACUACGAGAACGAACCCGUCUGGGUCGCACAACACAGCCGUUCGUCUUGUUGGCUAACGUCGUGGCUAAGUCUGGACAGCGAAUUAAAAUGUGCUCAGUGGUGCUCAAAACGACGCUGCGCGGCGGUGACAUUUUACGACAAAUGGCGCUUGUGCGAGGUUAGCAACCGUCAAGUGAGCUCGGUGAGCACAGCGCAGCCAAGUCACUUCUACCGACGUGGUGCCGCUCUCGUCCGCAAAAACGUCGCUCUCAUGAAACCUGUUCGCGCCUCAUCCGUCUAUAGCAUUUAUGCACCGGAUCGUGUCACCAACGGUAAAAUUGACAAGUACGAUUUUUUUCAUUCGGGUACAGUUGACCCAAAUAAUCCCUUCGUCGUGACAGAUCUCGGGCAGGAAAUGUCGAUCCAAACCGUACGGAUUAUAUGACACGCACCGACAUCCUUGCGCCCUCGAGAUUCCUCAACAUCUCUAUCCGAGGAGGGACCGUUGCAGUGCCGGGUCCGGACUUCAGUUCGUACAAGGAGCUUGCGUUCUACGCCGGGCCUCCGACUUCGCUCGGGAUGUGGUUCACGUCCGACUUGAGUACACCGAUUUGUGUGCGUUAUGUUUCGGUGCAACGAACUGCUACUGCCGGGGAGAAACUUUUGGAGAUAGCUGAACUUGAGAUGUAUGGACCAAAAUAGGUUUUUUCAAGAAUCCCUGCUAAUGAAGGAAAUGU